rnacentral:rRNA from 1 species
UAGGGAAUCUUCGGCAAUGGACGAAAGUCUGACCGAGCAACGCCGCGUGAGUGAAGAAGGUUUUCGGAUCGUAAAACUCUGUUGGUUGAGAAGAACGUUGGUGAGAGUGGAAAGCUCAUCAAGUGACGGUAACUACCCAGAAAGGGACGGCUAACUACGUACCAG